UACGGAGGGGGCUAGCGUUGUUCGGAAUUACUGGGCGCAAAGCGCACGUAGGCGGCUUUGCAAGUUAGAGGUGAAAGCCCGGGGCUCAACUCCGGAAUUGCCUUUAAAACUGCAUCGCUAGAAUUGUGGAGAGGUAAGUGGAAUUCCGAGUGUAGAGGUGAAAUUCGUAGAUAUUCGGAAGAACACCAGUGGCGAAGGCGGCGAUCUGGGUCGAUACUGACGCUGAGGUGCGAAAGCGUGGGGAGCAAACAGG
rnacentral:rRNA from 1 species